UACAGAGGUCUCAAGCGUUGUUCGGAUUCAUUGGGCGUAAAGGGUGCGUAGGUGGUGGGGUAAGUCGGAUGUGAAAUCCCGGGGCUCAACCCCGGAACUGCAUUCGAUACUGCCUUGCUCGAGUACUGGAGAGGAGACUGGAAUUUACGGUGUAGCAGUGAAAUGCGUAGAUAUCGUAAGGAAGACCAGUGGCGAAGGCGGGUCUCUGGACAGUUCCUGACGCUGAGGCACGAAGGUCAGGGGAGCAAACGGG
rnacentral:rRNA from 1 species